UUACUGAUUUUUUUCUUUUCUGGUUUUGUCUCUUAGAGAUCAUGCUGCUCCAUGUGUCCUUUCAUCUGUCCCUUAUAAUAAUUUGUGGAUCCAAGUGUAGAGAUCUCAAAGGAAUGUGGCUGAAGACCUUUGAGGAACUGUGCAGCAUCACUGUUCCUCAGCAAAAAGCAGCAUUUCUGCCAUGUGGAGGCUUCAAACAGCCCCACAAACUGCUAAUGCACCUGCUCAGCAGUGUGCUGUAAUGGCAAUAAUGAACAAUAAAUGCUGCUGCCUCCUUCAUAGCAUUACCAAACCUUUAUUUUCUCCAGGAAAGUUUACAAAAUCCUAAGUCAUCCUGUGCCCAGACUGGCCAUAAAAAUACCUUCCACAGGUUACAAAAGAACACUUUGUGUUGUAACAAAGGUCUUAAUUUUUUUUCCUGUUUGCCUUGGACUUCCCAGUCAUUUGUAUUUAUUUAGAAGUGACUUCCAGCUGUACCCCUAACAAAAAUUCAGCAAUGUAAAGACUUGAUAUAUAAGGUUCUGGGCAUUACAUUUGCUUAAAUUUGUAAAGCUCACCUGUAUUAGAAGUGUGUCUAUAAA